UACAGAGGCCUCGAGCGUUAGGCGGAAUCACUGGGCUUAAAGCGUGUGUAGGUGGAUGCCUAAGUACCUUGUGAAAUCCCACGGCUUAACCGUGGAACUGCUGGGUAUACUGGGUGUCUGAGCCACUCAGGGGCUACCGGAACAAACGGUGGAGCGGUGAAAUGCGUAGAUAUCGUUUGGAACGCCAAUGGUGAAAACAGGUAGCUGGGGGUGUGCUGACACUGAGACACGAAAGCCAGGGGAGCAAACGGG
rnacentral:rRNA from 1 species